rnacentral:rRNA from 1 species
AACGUAGGUGGCGAGCGUUAUCCGGAUUUACUGGGCGUAAAGCGUGUGCAGGCGGGGCUCCAAGUGGGGUAUGAAAUUUCCCAGCUUAACUGGGAGAGGUUAUGCCAGACUGGAGUUCUAGAGUGCGAGAGAGGGGCGUGGAAUUCCGGGUGUAGUGGUGAAAUGCGUAGAGAUCCGGAGGAACCCCAGAGGCGAAGGCGGCGCCCUGGCUCGCAACUGACGCUCAGACACGACAGCAUGGGGAGCGAGCGGG